rnacentral:rRNA from 1 species
UACGGGGGGGGCAAGCGUUGUUCGGAAUUACUGGGCGUAAAGGGCGCGUAGGCGGUUUGCUAAGUUGAAUGUGAAAACUCUGGGCUUAACCCAGAGCCUGCAUUCAAUACUGGCAGGCUAGAGUUCUGGAGGGGAUAGCGGAAUUCCUGGUGUAGCGGUGGAAUGCGUAGAGAUCGGGAAGAACAUCGGUGGCGAAGGCGGCCAGCUGGGCCAUUGCUGACGCUGAGGCGCGACAGCGUGGGGAGCAAACGGG